CUUAUGAAGAUCCAUAUGUGUUCACUGCAUCUGCGAACCAAGCUCCACUAAUUUCAAAAUCUGUAGAAAACAACCAGUAUUGGGAUGGAGAUCGGGAAAUAAGCUAAAACCAAGGAUUUCAGAACUGUCAUCGAGUGCUGGAAAAAGAAGUGGCGAUAUUCCUUACAAGGAUUCAAAUGUCACACGCAUAUUACAACACUCACUUGUUGGGAAUGCUCGUAGGGCCAUCAUAUGUACGCCCAGUUCAGCAAUGAGUCACUUUGAACAAUCUCCCAACACUUUCUCUUUUUCCACCCGUGCAAAGGAAGUCACUGACAAUGCCGAAGUGAAUAUGGAGAGAUCUUCCUGUAGACUUAGCAGAAGGGGCGCUCUAUGUAUUUCGCUUGCAAGCAUUAGACCAGUGUACUUUGCUGAUCAGUUGGGCUACUCAGUUCAACCUUUUGCCAUUUUUUUCUUUUUUUUUUGUGUGCCUUUAGGUCUAGUUACCACAGAUUGCAUAAGAAAAUCUUUCAGAAUGCUAAUGAUAAUAGUCAUAAUUAUAACUUAGAACGGUGGAUUCACUAUUCAGUACUCGUGUAGAGUUUGUUGGGAGUUUUUGACUGAAGUGUCAUCUUGGUUCAAAUGUAAAUUGAGUUACUGUUGUAAACAAAUUUCAAAUUUGAAUUGAAUGAUAUCAAAUG